CUUAACCGUGGAACUGCAUGUGAUACUGGGUAGCUAGAGUAUAUGAGAGGUAAGUGGAAUUCCUAGUGUAGCGGUAGAAUGCGUAGAGAUUAGGGGGAACACCAGAGGCGAAGGCGACUUACUGGCAUAACACUGACACUGAGACUCGAAAGCGUGGGGAGCAAACAGGAUUAGAUACCCUGGUAGUCCACGCCCUAAACGAUGGAUACUAGAUGUGGGGAGUAUCGACUCUCUCCGUAUCGUAGCUAACGCGUUAAGUAUCCCGCCUGGGGAGUACGGUCGCAAGAUUAAAACUCAAAGGAAUUGACGGGACCCCGCACAAGCAGCGGAGCAUGUCGUUUAAUUCGACGCAACGCGAAGAACCUUACCAAGGCUUGACAUUUAAUGCAUAACAUGGAAACAUGCGAAAUCUUGUAGCAAUACAAGACAU
rnacentral:rRNA from 1 species